rnacentral:rRNA from 1 species
UACGGGGGGGGCAAGCGUUGUUCGGAAUUACUGGGCGUAAAGGGCUUGUAGGUGGCCAACUAAGUCAGACGUGAAAUCCCUCGGCUUAACCGGGGAACUGCGUCUGAUACUGGAUGGCUAGAGUGGGGGAGAGGGAUGCGGAAUUCCAGGUGUAGCGGCGAAAUGCGUAGAUAUCUGGAGGAACACCGGUGGCGAAGGCGGCAUCCUGGACCACGACUGACACUGAAAAGCGAAAGCCAGGGGAGCAAACGGG